UACGUAGGGUGCAAGCGUUGUCCGGAAUUAUUGGGCGUAAAGAGCUCGUAGGCGGUCUGUCACGUCGGCUGUGAAAUCCCGAGGCUCAACCUCGGGUCUGCAGUCGAUACGGGCAAACUAGAGUAUUGCAGGGGAGACUGGAAUUCCUGGUGUAGCGGUGAAAUGCGCAGAUAUCAGGAGGAACACCGGUGGCGAAGGCGGGUCUCUGGGCAAUAACUGACGCUGAGGAGCGAAAGCAUGGGGAGCGAACAGG
rnacentral:rRNA from 1 species